AAGAAUUCAGCCUCAGGAAGCUCCCACCCUGUCUGAAGGCCCAGAUGGAGAGGAGAGGAAGAGGCUGCUCAAAUGAUGAAAUCACAUCAGAUCUGGAAGCUGGCUAAAAAUAACCCAGGAAGGAGAACGGAACUCCAGGGGGCAGUGACUUCACUGGAAAUCGAUAUCAAAGCACCGAGUGGAAAGUGUUCCAUCGCAGAAGCUCUUUUUAAAAGUUUUCUUUUUUCUUUCAGUUUUAUUGGCAUAUAAUUGACAUACAGCAUUGUAUUACUUUCAGAUGUACAACAUGAACAUUUGAUUAUGUACAUCUUUGAAAUAUACAAAAGGGCGAUAUUAAAUAUACAAAAUUUAUAUGUAAAUAUACAAAAUUGACUAUAUUGAGCACACUGUGCA
rnacentral:lncRNA from 1 species